AGGUGCUGCAUGGCUGUCGUCAGCUCGUGUCGUGAGAUGUUGGGUUAAGUCCCGCAACGAGCGCAACCCUUGCCCUUAGUUGCCAUCAUUAAGUUGGGAACUCUAAGGGGACCGCCGGUGACAAACCGGAGGAAGGUGGGGAUGACGUCAAGUCAUCAUGGCCUUUAUGGCCAGGGCUACACACGUGCUACAAUGGUCGGUACAAAGGGUUGCCAACCCGCGAGGGGGAGCCAAUCUCAGAAAGCCGAUCGUAGUCCGGAUUGCAGUCUGCAACUCGACUGCAUGAAGUCGGAAUCGCUAGUAAUCGUGAAUCAGCGAUGUCACGGUGAAUACGUUCCCGGGUCUUG
rnacentral:rRNA from 1 species